ACGAACGCUGGCGGCGUGCCUAAUACAUGCAAGUAGAACGCUGAAGGAGGAGCUUGCUUCUCCGGAUGAGUUGCGAACGGGUGAGUAACGCGUAGGUAACCUGCCUGGUAGCGGGGGAUAACUAUUGGAAACGAUAGCUAAUACCGCAUAAGAGUAGAUGUCGCAUGACAUUUGCUUAAAAGGUGCAACUGCACCACUACCAGAUGGACCUGCGUUGUAUUAGCUAGUUGGUGAGGUAACGGCUCACCAAGGCAACGAUACAUAGCCGACCUGAGAGGGUGAUCGGCCACACUGGGACUGAGACACGGCCCAGACUCCUACGGGAGGCAGCAGUAGGGAAUCUUCGGCAAUGGACGGAAGUCUGACCGAGCAACGCCGCGUGAGUGAAGAAGGGUUUCGGAUCGUAAAGCUCUGUUGUAAGAGAAGAACGAGUGUGAGAGUGGAAAGUUCACACUGUGACGGUAUCUUACCAGAAAGGGACGGCUAACUACGUG
rnacentral:rRNA from 1 species